GCAGAAAAACAGUCAUAAUUAGGUAGUGGAGUUGUAGAAAACAAUCUAUAGCAAUCACCAGAUUCGCCAAACAAAUUCUCUACUCAAUCAAUCAAGAUUAUCCCAAAAAACCAUGAUUUCCCAUCAAGACGGUGAUGCUUUGCUAUUUUCCAUCCAUACUUGAAUUGAAUUGAAUAACUUUGUGAUUUGUCCAUACCAAUUAAGCUUAGUUCUUCACAAACCGCCUUUAUUAAAGACGGAUGCGUUUGUGAAUGACAGGCUCUCGCUUGACCUUCACGCACACCAUAGCCCCAUCCUCUUGUCUCUCUCCGUAAAUCCACACCGGUUUAGAGAGCAAUGGAUAUGGCAAUUGGUGUGUAUCGUCUAGGAGCUUCCACUCUGUAAAACGAAUCUCUACUCUAUUAGUGGCCGUUGUUGGCUGAAAAGGCAAUUUUUUGUGUGAAAUGCUCUGUUUCUGAAGCCUGCCACAGAUUUGUACCUCUGAAGAUCAAUGCAGGUUUGGUCUGACUAAGUGUGAAAGCUUCUUACGAGUUACUACACAACUAGUAGAGGCUGGUGACAUUUGUACUGUUUACGCCAUUGAUGAUAUUCAGACUGGGGAGACGAUUGCAGACAAAACCACGGGGAAGCCAUUGCCCUCCAUUAAGGUCGAAGAACAUUCGGUGAGAAUUGCUUUCUCAAUCAACAUUUCAUCAUUCGUGGGCCAUGAGGUAUAUGGCUGAACAUUUACUACAGUUAUGAGCUAUGCGGCACCGAUACGGAUACGUGUAUCCGUAUCCUUCGGAUACGGAUACGCGGGUACGGCUCUUUCCCAAACAACCCAAUACGCGGAUACGUUUUAACUAUUUUUUUUAAUAAAUAAUAAUAGUGCAUAAUAAAUUACAAAAUUGAUAUUCUAAUUCAACAUAGAGACAUUAAAGGUCUAUUACACUCAAAAUAACAUGAUAGCAGCAGGUUCUAAAUUAGGAAAUAAUUAAAAGGUAGUAGCAAACUAGCAUCAAGCCAUCAACAUCAAGCUUCUUCCUCAUUCCCCGUCUCCUCCAGCUCCACACCUUCAUCCUCGGCAUCACCCAAUCCAAAUGAUACAGCCUGCAACUCAGGUUCAUCAAUGGAGAGGUCAGCAACUUCAAGAAGACCUACACCACUAAGGGAAUCAAAAGAAUCUCCCCCAACAUCCCACAUCCUUGUCUCUCCUUUCUUGUAUGCAUCAGUUCUUCUUGACAAAUGUCUCAGAUUUGAGUGCACAAAGACCAAAUCUUCAGCCCGCUCAGGAGUUAAGGCAUUUCUCUUGACACUAUGGAUGAAGCUAUAUGUGCUCCAAUUUCUUUCACAGCAAGAAGAAGAGGCCGGUUGGCUGAGCAGUUUCAUGGCCAAACUCAUCAAAAGAGGGAUAGAUUGUCCAUGAUUUGUCCACCAUGUCAUUGGGGAAACAGCCCAUCUAUCAUGUAUAGAAUCAGGGUCAUUGAAUUCUUCUGAACAACUAGAAAACCUUGCAUAUUCUUCCUUUACUGCAGCCAACUCUUGCGGUAUGCGAAAGAAUUUCUUGAAGCAAGUCAUCCUCAUUUGUGAUAUUUCCUUGUCCUUGUGGGGGGGUAGUCGGCCAGCACCUUCUUGAAGCCACAUGUUGCUGUAAAAUCUGGAAUUGGCAGCAAUUUAGAUCAUGAAGUUAAAAUGAAAAAAUGAAGAGCAAAGAAUCUGAAUUUUAAUUGCACAGUGCAUAUUACCUUGGAUUGAGUGAAUGAGCCAAACAAUGAAGUGGAUUAUUGCCUUUUGUCCACCUAGCAAUCAAUAUAUCAUGAAUAACAGAGUAGAGGUCUGACUCCUCAUUUGGUUCCUUCCCUUCAUACAAAUAUAUUUCUUUCUUCACUUUCUCAAUCAUUGAAUCCCACAUCUCAUAGAUUAAGUGAAGACACGGGGUGUCGGUGUCUGCAAAGCGUAUCAUAUCAUAGAUAGGACUAGUGAACCUAAGAAUGUAUUCUACAUUGCCCCACCAGACAUCACUUAGUAUUUUUUCCUUUACAUGUUGGGCAGUUGAAGCAUCCUCUUUGUAGAUGCUCCAUUUGUCACUAAUCACCAUGUGUUGGAGAGCUGCUUUUACCUCAACAAACCGUUUUAGCAUACACACAACCGAUGCAAAUCUUGUUUCAGCAAUAGAGAGCAACUUCAAAUGGCUGAACUCAUUAAACAUGGAAAGACGCAUGCCAUGAUUCAUUAUGAAAUUCUUGAUCAUAGUAGCCUCAACUUUGACAUUGUUUAUAAAUUCUAAUUGACUCCAAACCUGCAUAUCCUCAUCAGUAGGUGUCCUUGGCAGUUUAGGUUCACAUAUAUUUUUCAUAGCAAGGUUGAGAGUAUGCACUACACAAGGUGUCCAAAAUAUGUGAUCAUUUUCAGCUUCAAUUAAAAGACCCGCACCUUUGCAAUUUGCAGCAUUAUCUGUGAUGAUUUGUACCACAUUUUGUCGACCUACUUCAUCAAUGAUAGCCCUCAACUUCUCAGCAAUAAAUUCUUUUGACUUGUAUUCUCCUUCUCAAUUGUCAGCCCUCAAAAACAUUGGUGCUUUCUCAGAAACAGCGGUGAAGUUGAUGAUUGGCCUCCUCUGAGGAUCUGACCAACCAUCAGAGCAGAUUGUGACCCUUUCUCUGGCCAUGUGCUCUUUGUACUCUCCAAUAGAGUCUCUAUGUGCCUUCUUUCUUGCUUGAGCAGUGAUUCCCUUGCCCUGUUAUACCCAGGUAUUGUGUAACUUGGCAAAUUGCGGCUGCAAGCAAAUGCAAAAGCUUCUCUAAAAUAUGGGUUUCUCAGAAAGUUGAAAGAAAUCCCUCCAGAAAACAUUGCUCUAACAAUUAAAGCAUCCAAGUGCUUGCGGUCUUGCAAUGCCCAUGAUUUUUCCAAUUGAGAAACAGGCCCCCUCUUGGUCCUCUUGCUGUUGUCUGAAGGAGCUACAGGCAAAGAAACAGUGCGUGCCUUUGAUCUUUCCAAUAGCUCCUUACACUUUUCCACUUCCCUCCUCAUGUCACUCAGCAUUUCAAAUGAAACAUUUGGACAUGUCUUAAUCCCGUGUCUUAAUUUUUGCAGCAAAUGAGCUUCAACUCUUGUAUAGCUAGUGCUUUUUGAAAAUGGACAAUAGUUGCAUCUCCAUAAUAUAUUUCCUCCACCAGGUUUAGGCUUCUCUAGAAUGGUGACAUGAUCCCACAAUGGAGCCCUGAUAUCAGUUAUUUGUCUGGACCCAGAUCCAACACUAGAACUAGCAGCAGAACUAGCACUAGAACUAGCAGCAGUAGCACUCAGAUUUGGAGAUGCCAUACUGCUGAAAUUGAAAGCUCUAACAGGGGAAGGGAGAGAACGAUGUCAAGAACCUUGCUGCAGCCGCGCGGGCGUGGGUCGUCGUCGUCGCAGUGGCGGCGCAGGCGCGAGUCGGGCGUGGGGACGAGCUGGGGUAGGGCAACACAUUAGCCGCUGCUUAUAUACUCCUUUCAACAGGGCUCCUUUAGAUGGGCUUUAAACUGGGCCGUAUCCACCGAAGAUACGUAUCGAAUCUGAGGUUUCCCGGCCCAAUACGGCCCACCUCGCGGAUACGCCCAGGAUACGUAUCGUCGGUGUAUCCGUCGCGUAUCAGUAUCGGAUACGUAUCCGAUACGCGAUACGUAUCCGAUAUGAGUAAGAAACGGUAUUUACAAAUAUAUUUAAGGGUAAAUGUCUUCUUUUGGUGGACUGUAGGGGAAGUAUGUCACCAGUAGAAACCUACGAGACAGGCUCUACUGUGAACUUGAGCGAAAUUUGGCAAUGAAAGUUGAGGACGGUGAAACUUCUGAUACGUUCAAUGUCAGCUGGCACGGUACUCUGCAUAUCACAAUAUUGAUAGACAACAUGCGUGGAGAAGGGUACGAGUUCAUGGUGGGUCCACCCAAGGUUAUCAAAAAAAGAGUGAAUGACAAGUUAUUGGAACCUUUUGAGAGAUUGCUAUCGUAGAGGGGCCGUAGUGGAACUUCAUGGUGGACGGCGUGGACAUAUGAUCAAUAUGCAAUGCAAGGAACUGGGUUGCUUUUGAGGAUAGAACAAGUACAACCUACGCUCUUGCAAGUUCACAAGACCAAGGCCUGAUGUUCAUUGGACCAGGAGUUGAUGUGUACUAAGGCCUGGGGGCUUUGUCCUUGAAUGUCUGCAAGAAGAAAGCUGCCACAAAUGUCCGUUCCAACAAAGAAUAAACAGUUGUUCUGGAUUCGCCCAUGGAAUACAGUCUGGACGACUGCAUAGAAUACAGUCAAGAAGAUGAACUUGUUGAAGUCACUCCCUCGAGCAUCCAGAUGAGCAAGAAUCCUAAGACGGCAAAGAAAUUGCGUUGAAAAUGUCAUGAGGAAAGAGAGCUAGCCUAAUAUGCGCAUCAGUAUGCGAAUGCAACUAUCAUCCUGUCUAAGAUGCCAGAC